rnacentral:lncRNA from 10 species
UGUUUCCCAUCUUACACUUUUUCAGAAUAGAUAUUCCCAUGGUAGAAUCAUGGGCUGACACUAUCACAUUAUAAAAUUUUCUCUGGUUCUGUCUCUUCCCCUCAGGAACACACAUGGAUGAUUCUUAUUACUUUAUGCCCACAUUAAAUAAUUGUAUACACCAUGAACUGGAGGCCUUGUGUUUUGAGUGAAAAGCUUUGGAUUUGAGUUUGUGUUUCCAAACACACUUCUGAGGUAGAAAUUGUCAAGAGCUUUCCCAAACUCUUUUUUUAAUCCUCCUGAGCUCACCAUCUCUGGGACUGUCUUGCAAUUGGACAGCCAUGCAAUUGAGCUUCAGCCAAUGAAACAUGAGUGGAGGGCGUGACACACAACCUGCCAUGUUCAAGCCUCCAUACUCUUUCCCUCCUCCAGCUUUGUGCUGAUGAACAUGGUCACCUUGAAAGGUGUGUUGAAUAUGGCAGAGCCAGAAAAUGCAAGGAGCUUCUUCUCUGGAUCACCACUUGAAGAAGAGCCACUUGCUCCUCAGGAACCCUAUUUUGGACUGACGUUGCAAGAAAGCUCAAGUAGCCUAUGGAGAGGAUGCAAGGCUUCCAGCUGAUGCCCUCAGCCAGGCUCAGUAGCAGCCAGAACUAGCCUACCAACGAACCUGCUGAUCAUGUGCAUAAGCCACCUUGAACGUCGAUCCUCCUGCCUGGUGGAGCCAUCCCAGCUGAUGCCACAUGAAGCAGACACAAGCUGUCCCUACUAAGCUCUGCUCAAGUUGGAUAUUCAUGAGUGAAAUAAAUGACU